rnacentral:rRNA from 1 species
CCUACGGGAGGCAGCAGUGGGGAAUAUUGGGCAAUGGGCGCAAGCCUGACCCAGCAACGCCGCGUGAAGGAAGCAGGCUUUCGGGUUGUAAACUUCUUUUAAGGGGGAAGAGCAGAAGACGGUACCCCUUGAAUAAGCCACGGCUAACUACGUGCCAGCAGCCGCGGUAAAACGUAGGUGGCAAGCGUUGUCCGGAUAUACUGGGGGUAAAGGGCGUGCAACCGGAGAGACAAGUCCGGUGUGAAAUCCACGGGCUCAACCCGUGAACUGCAUUUGAAACUGUUUCCCUUGAGUGUCGGAGAGGUAAGCGGAAUUCCUUGUGUAGCGGUGAAAUGCGGAGAUAUAAGGAAGAACACCAGUGGCGAAGGCGGAUUACUGGACGAUGACUGACGGUGAGGCGCGAAAGCGUGGGGAGCAAACAGGAUUAGAUACCCCAGUAGUC